GAUGAACGCUGGCGGCGUGCCUAAUACAUGCAAGUCGAGCGAACAGAUGAGGAGCUUGCUCCUCUGACGUUAGCGGCGGACGGGUGAGUAACACGUGGAUAACCUACCUAUAAGACUGGGAUAACUUCGGGAAACCGGAGCUAAUACCGGAUAAUAUAUUGAACCGCAUGGUUCAAUAGUGAAAGACGGUUUUGCUGUCACUUAUAGAUGGAUCCGCGCCGCAUUAGCUAGUUGGUAAGGUAACGGCUUACCAAGGCAACGAUGCGUAGCCGACCUGAGAGGGUGAUCGGCCACACUGGAACUGAGACACGGUCCAGACUCCUACGGGAGGCAGCAGUAGGGAAUCUUGCACAAUGGGCGAAAGCCUGACGGAGCAACGCCGCGUGAGUGAUGAAGGUCUUCGGAUCGUAAAACUCUGUUAUUAGGGAAGAACAAAUGUGUAAGUAACUAUGCACGUCUUGACGGUACCUAAUCAGAAAGCCACGGCUAACUUCGUG
rnacentral:rRNA from 1 species